rnacentral:rRNA from 1 species
GAUGAACGCUGGCGGCGUGCCUAAUACAUGCAAGUCGAGCGAAUGGAUUAAGAGCUUGCUCUUAUGAAGUUAGCGGCGGACGGGUGAGUAACACGUGGGUAACCUGCCCAUAAGACUGGGAUAACUCCGGGAAACCGGGGCUAAUACCGGAUAACAUUUUGAACAGCAUGGUUCGAAAUUGAAAGGCGGCUGCGGCUGUCACUUAUGGAUGGACCCGCGUCGCAUUAGCUAGGUGGGGGGGUAACGGCUAACAAAGGCAACGAUGCGUAGCCGACCUGGGAGGGUGAUCGGCCACACUGGGACGGAGACACGGCCCAGACUCCUACGGGAGGCAGCAGUAGGGAAUCUUCCGCAAUGGACGAAAGUCUGACGGAGCAACGCCGCGUGAGUGAUGAAGGCUUUCGGGUCGUAAAACUCUGUUGUUAGAGAAGAACAAGUGCUAGUUGAAUAAGCUGACACCUUGACGGUACCUAACCAGAAAGCCACGGCUAACUACGUGCCAGCCGUCGCCGUAA